UACAGAGGGGGCAAGCGUUAUUCGGCAUUAUUGGGCGUAAAGGGCGCGUAGGCGGCCUGGCAAGUGGAAGGUGAAAUCCCUCGGCUUAACCGAGGAACUGCCCUCCAAACUGCUUGGCUUGAGUCCGGGAGAGGUGAGUGGAAUUCCCAGUGUAGCGGUGAAAUGCGUAGAUAUUGGGAGGAACACCAGUGGCGAAGGCGGCGCACUGGACCGGAACUGACGCUGAGGCGCGAAAGCGUGGGGAGCAAACGGG
rnacentral:rRNA from 1 species